GUGCAUGCUUCGGCAGCACAUAUACUAAAAUUGGAACGGUACAGAGAAGAUUAGCAUGGCCCCUACGCAAGGAUGAUAUGCAAAUUCAUGAAGCAUUCCAUAUUAAA